GGCCGUUGGUGCGGGGCAGUAGUUUGUUGAGUGUAAAUCCCGGGCCUCUAGAUGAAAAUAACACCGCAGAAAUUAGCUGAGCACAAUUAGCUGCAGGUCAGCACAACGCGGCUUUCUUGUCUGAUUUCUGUGUAUUGAUUUUUCUAUCUCUGCAAUCAUCACUGGAGUACAACAAACUUUCUAUUCCUGCGCAUUCGGCAUAUAGCUCUCUGAAUUAUGUAGCUGGAGAGGACUUGCACUCUCGUAAAAGUGAAUUUAACGUUUGACAAGCUCAUUUUUUAUGGUUCUGUUUUUCUCCCGAAUUUCUGCUGUCAUCCAAACUAAUUCCCGGCGGUGAUUGAGGAGGUGGGGUCCGAUGCGCUCGUUUGGAAGUACCCAGCAAAGAUCUCAUCAAACACACGGCAGAGCAGCAC